rnacentral:lncRNA from 1 species
GGGAUACGUUUUGGGUUUUCUUUCAUUGAGUCAUGUGACACCACACUAGGUAACUUUCUUCUUCAGUCUUUCUGUACAGUUUCUGUGAAGCCUGGAGGGCUGGAGCAGGCUGGGUGACUGGCAGUUGAGCAGCUGCCAGUCUGUGAGGCAUGCGAAGUGGGGAUGUCUCUGCCCCAAUUGCCAUCCUGCCUUGGGUCCUGGCUUGCAGCGGGAGUUUCCCUGCCCAGAGCACAUGGCUUGCAAGGCCGCCAUCUGCCUGGCUGCCCGGCCUUCUCUGCUCCACACACAUGGCUGUUCCUAAGUAGACUUCGAGCCCUGGAUGUGCUGUGGAUGUGAACCAGUCCAGCUGAUAUGACACCCACUGUCUCUGCAACAGAGUCUGCCAAACAGAAGCUUCUGAUAGAAUCCCCAUUGCCUAAAUUCCCUUUUUUGCUUUUGACUAGCAUUUCAGCCUUCUUGGGUCCCGAACUUCGUCCCAAAGUCAGCAGGAAGUAGAAUGGGAAUGAAUACAUCGCCC